rnacentral:rRNA from 1 species
GCUGGCGGCAUGCCUAACACAUGCAAGUCGAACGCGAAAGUCCCUUCGGGGGCGAGUAGAGUGGCGGACGGGUGAGUAACGCGUAGGAAUCUGCCUGGUAGUGGGGGACAACUCGGGGAAACUCGAGCUAAUACCGCAUACGCCCUACGGGGGAAAGCGGGGGAUCUUUCGGGACCUCGCGCUAUCAGAUGAGCCUGCGUCGGAUUAGCUUGUUGGUAGGGUAAUGGCCUACCAAGGCAACGAUCCGUAGCUGGUCUGAGAGGACGAUCAGCCACACUGGGACUGAGACACGGCCCAGACUCCUACGGGAGGCAGCAGUGGGGAAUAUUGCACAAUGGGCGAAAGCCUGAUGCAGCAAUGCCGCGUGUGUGAAGAAGGCCUGCGGGUUGUAAAGCACUUUCAGGAGGGAAGAAAAGCUUGGGGCUAAUACCCCCGGGUCUUGACGUUACCUCCAGA